rnacentral:lncRNA from 10 species
GCUCCAUCGCCCAGGCUGGAGUACAGUGGCAUGAUCACUGCUCACUGCAGCCUCACCCUCCAGGACUCAAGCAAUCCUCCCCACUCAGCCUCUCAGGAGCUAAGGACUGGCUCAAUUGACUAUAAAGAAUCGAGAAUGUCAGCUGACCAGGCAACCAGGAGACGCUUUCCUGACUUCCACUAUGCACGUGGGCUGCAUAAUUGUGUCUGUGAAGUAAUGAAGAACGUGCUUGCUCUGUAACAUCCAAACGCGUGGCCACCAUUCACAGAUAGUGUCCUUUGGGAAAGGUGUGGGUAUAGAUGGGGAAUGGUCAGUCCUAUGAAUAUGGGGCUAUAAGACAGCAAGGCUAGAAAGUAUCUGUGCUUUCAUUUUUUAAUUUUAUCUAUUUUUUUUUUUUUUUUGCACUAAUGGUUUGCAUUCACAUUGAGGAACUGAGACUGUUUUCAGACUUUUGGCCUACUGAUGACCUUAUGUUCAUAAAAGGAUAGAAGUAUAAUAAGUUGUUUAAUAUAAAACAUACUGAAAUUUUAUUUUCUGUCUCCUUGGAUAUAAAGUUUCCACUUAUCUUGGGUUUAAGUACCUACUCCUCCACAGAGAGGGACCUUGUGCAUGUAGAUUGAUAUUCUCAGGAUGAAAGCAGUACCUACUACAACUAGGAACUCACAGAACAGGAAGACGAUGCUUGUUCCUGAUGGCAUGUAAAUCUAGAUUCACUUCUAGCUGGAAGGAGGCAGGCCAGAAAUUCAGAGUUGUAGGUCCUUGGCCUGGGUGGAUGUGCUACAACAUGAACCAUAAACCUCCAUCACUUAUCUUGGCGGAUAGAAAAUUGGAACUUUGGAGGAAAGUUUCGCAUCAAGCACUCAGACCCAAUAAAUACUCCCACUCCUUGCAGAGCUACCGAACAUUCUGCACUCCAUUUAUCAGGCUACCCAAGGAUGCUUGGAAUGUGCUGGCCGGAGCCACCAUCAGCACUUGCUGAUGACUCUUUGUGGUACCGCCACUCACUUUCUGUACUGUGUUCUUUCUUCUUCCUUCUCUUUUGUUCUUCUGCCCAGCGACACACUUGUGCAGACUGACUUGGUGCCUUGGUGCCUGUUAUGGACUGAAUGCUCGUGUCCUCCCACAUUCAUAUGUCAAAGCACAAUCCCCAAUGUGAUGGUAUUUGGAGAUGGGGCCUCUGGGGGGUGAUCAGGUUUAGCUGUUGUAAAGGUGAGCCCUCCGCGUCUGGAUUAGUGCCCUUAUAAAAAGAGACACAAGCGAGCUUUCUCAUUCUCCUUCCACCAUGUUAAGAUACAAUGAGAAGACGGCCAUCUGGAAAACAGGAAGCAGGCCUUCACCUGCUGUAGGCAAUCAUAACACAAUGAGAAGUAUUGUGUUGGCACUAUCUGGUCCAGGAGCAGCUGGACCUCCCAGAAAGACAUGGGGUCAGCCUCCACCUGGAUCCUGAACUUCCCAGCCUCCAUAAGCAUGAGAAAUAAAUGUCUGUUGCUUAAGCCAUCCAGCCUAUGGUAACUUUUUAUAGCAGCCUGAAGCUACUAAGAUGGUGCCAAGACUGUGAGAUGGCACUAGAAGAGAGAGAAUAAAAACACAGGCUCUUAAGUGGUUCAAAUCCUGGCUCUGCCACUUGUCCAUUAUGUGGUUUUUGGGCAAAGCUGAAUCUUUCUGUGCCUCAGUUCCCAAUCUGGAAAAUGAGACGUCUAUUCUAUCAGGGUAGGGAUGAGAUAAGAUCAUGUGUUCAAUUAGAUGGGAUCAAACACAUGGUAGAGGAACUUAAUACAUCUUUAUUGUUAUUAUAGCUAUGUCACUGAAAGAAUUGGGUUAAAUAAAAUGCAAUCUCUCGGCCGGGCGCAGUGGCUCACACCUGUAAUCCCAGCACUUUGGGAGGCCAAGGUGGGUGGAUCAUGAGGUCAGGAGUUCGAGACCAGCCUGGCCAAGAUGGUGAAACCCUGUCUCUACUAAAAAUACGAAAAUUAGCCGGGCGUGGCAGGCACCUGUAAUCCCAGUUACCCGGGAGGCUGAGGCAGAAGAAUCGCUUGAACCCGGGAGCGGAGGUUGCAGUGAGCCGAGAUCGCUGCACUCUAGCCUGGGUGACACAGCAAAACUCUGUCUCAAAAAAAAAAAAAAAAAAAAAAAUGCAAUCUCUCACCAGAAGUUGAAAAUCUAGCCUGUGAGAUAAAGAGACACUUAAUUGUAAUACGUGGCGCUUGGCAAAAGGUGACAAAUACUAUUAUAUAAUCAGUAUAUGGAAAAAACACCAUGAAAGCUGCAGUAGAUCAACUAGAACUGCAAAUUCCUUAUCACUGCUUUCAUCAAGAGCUGGAGUCUAGUUCCCCUCCUCCUUGAAACAGUGACCUGUUGACAAACAGAAUGAGGCUGAAACAACUCUGGGUGUCUUGUAAGGCAAAACCAUGAGGAACCUUGCAGCUGCUUCCUGAUUCUCAUGCGGCACUCCCUCUUGGAACAGAGCUGCCAUGCUGGGAGAUGUUACCUAUGGGGGCUCCAGUUGACAGCCCCAGUUGAGCAUCCACUGUCGUAGGAGUGAACCAUCCUGGACAGUCCAACCCAGUCAGCUCCCAGGUGACUUCGGCUGUUCCAGUGCCCAGCCACACCUUGUGAUGCAGAAUGCCCAGUCAACUCACAGAACUGCAAGAGAUAGUACAAUUGUUG